UUUCCUAGCACUGUGUGGAUUUAAAUCAAGACCACUCCUUUUCUGGAAGACAUAUUUUCAACUAAUGUAAAUGUUUUGUCUAAAUAUAAGAAGAACUAGGUGGAGCUCUGUGUCCUACAGCCCCUGUGACUGUAUCUUACAGGAGACUGGGUGAUGGAGUGAAAUCUGGAUCUUCUGACCCUAGAAAAUCCAUGAAUAAAAUCCCAAGUUGCUUUGUCACAAAACUUUCUAUGCCAGAGGUUUCCUGUGGACUCAUUACUCUGAAGAGGAACAAUACAUGUCCUCCUUCUCUGAAUGCAAAGAUUCCCAGUGAAAUCCUUGGGCUCCUGAUGGGGGAAGGACUCUGGUCUCUGACCCUGUGGCACCAACCAGCACUGAGUUGGAAGUCAGUGCCUUUGAGCUGCACAGGUGAAGAAAAUGUCACAGCAGUUCCCACAGCCCUUUGCAAAAUGGUUGGAUGGAAAUUAUUCUGAAAAAAGGUGUGUUGCCCGUACUUGGCAACAUUUCCAGAUGCUCACUGCAUAUUCAAGGAAUCAUAUGGAUGGCUCCUGGCUCAGGCUAAAAACUGUUUUAUGUGGCUCAUAUGUGUUAGGCAAAUUAGUUGCAUGUAGACAUGGAGACCCUGGUUAAAGACUGUGUAAGAAAGAAUUCUUCCCAGAGAAGUCAAGGUUGACGACAGCUGUAGCAACUCUUCCUGAAGAGCCAGCUGGUCCAUGGAAUAUCAAAACAUGCUGACAACAAAUCUCCAAAAGCAGCAUUUCUGUUUGAAGGCGGUGCAUUGCACCAGAAGGGCACAAAUGCAGCAGGGAUGACAUCUCUUCUCACAUCACCAUCACCACUGCACAUCAGCACAGCCCCGUGUCACAGUAUGGAGGGAGAUCCAGGGUGGCAUUCAAUUUAAGCUCCACAUCUAUUGGCUUUCUUCUCAGCCCCUUGUGAGCAUCAUUUGCUUCAGAUACCAGAUCUACUAAUGAUUUUUUUUUUCCCUCCCCCUUGCUCACACUUUAAUUGCAGGGUAUAUGUAAUACCCUUAGGAAUAGCUAUUGCCACCUGUAUUAUUAUUUAUGCUGUGAAAACGAAGCUUGUGGCAAUAUAUUUAUUAACACGGUGCCCUGGAAUCACAUGAGUUAACAGCUUAAUCCUGUGAUUGUAAACACUUUUCUCUACAUGUUCAAGCACCAUCCAGGUUUUUUAACUUAGCAUUGGGAAACUGAGCAUGAGCAGGUCAUAAUUUUUUGAGAAAAUCUACUCUUUAGCAAAGGAAAAAAAUAAAUCUCAUAACAAAAAAGUGGUUUAUCCA
rnacentral:lncRNA from 1 species